AAUAUUGGCCAAUGGGGGCAACCCUGAUCCACCCAUGCCGCGCGUGUGAAGAACCUCCUCGUAUUGUAAAGCACCCUAAGUUGGGAGGAAGGGCUUUAGGUUAAUACCCUGAAGUUUUGACGUUACCAACACAAUAAGCACCGGCUACCUCUGUGCCAGCAGCCGCGGUAAUACAGAGGGUGCAAGCGUUAAUCGGAAUUACUGGGCGUAAAGCGCGCGUAGGUGGUUCAGUAAGAUGGGUGUGAAAUCCCCGGGCUUAACCUGGGAACUGCUUUCAUAACUGCUGAGCUAGAGUACGGUAGAGGGUAGUGGAAUUUCCUGUGUAGCGGUGAAAUGCGUAGAUAUAGGAAGGAACACAAGUGGCGAAGGCGACUACCUGGACUGAUACUGACACUGAGGUGCGAAAGCGUGGGGAGCAAAC
rnacentral:rRNA from 1 species